GACGAACGCUGGCGGCGUGCUUAACACAUGCAAGUCGAACGGAAAGGCCUCUUUCGGGGUGUUCUCGCGUGACGAACGGGCGGGUAACACGUGAGUAACCUACCCUUGUCUUUGGGAUAACUUACGGCAACUAGGGCUAAUACCGACUAGGAGAUCCUGCUACAUGGAGGGGGCUGGAGAGUUUCGGCGGUUGGGGGUGGCCUGGCGGCUUAUCAGCUUGUUGGUGGCGUAGUGGCUUACCAAGGCUUUGACGGGUAGCCGGCCUGAGAGGGUGAGCGGCGACAUUGGGACUGAGAUACGGCCCAGACUGCUACGGUAGGCAGCAGUGGGGAAGAUUGCACGAGGGGUGGAAGGCUGAUGCAGAAAGGCCGUGUGCGGGAUGACGGUGUUCGGGUUGUAAACCGCUUUCGUACAUGACGAAGCUCUGUGUGACGGUAGUGGGUAAAGAAGCACCGGCUAACUACGUG
rnacentral:rRNA from 1 species